GCACCCCCACGCACCGGCCACUGCGGCCUCCAGCACCACCUCCACAUCCACCGUCGGCUGCCCAUAAGCGCUGCGCCGCCGGCCACCCUGCCAACCCAGCGCGAGCCCUUCCCCUUCCCUAUUCCUCCGCCUGGACCCCGACGAUCGACGGAUCUGAGCCCCCUGCCCUCCCGCGCCUUCUCCAUGGCCUCCUCCCCCGCCAGUGGCCGAACUCGUCAAGCUCGACCUCGCUGGAACCCCCGCGGCGAACCACGACCCCGACGGGACCCCACCCACUUCUAGUGGCUCAGACCACCAUGCCUCCACCACGAAACGGCCGCCGGCGACGGCCAAGACCCGGGAUCCAGGGCCACCCGAUGAGGCGCGCGGCCUCACCUGCCCACUACCAUCCUUGUCCGUUCUUUUUCUGCAGGAGCACCAUCUCAGCCCCCGCGCAGUGCGGGCGGUGAGCACGUGCAGUCCGGUGGGCGCGUGCGUGCAACGCGCUGAGUGCGGGCGCUGGAUCAGCACCACCCCCGUGCAGUGCAGGCGGUGAGCACGUGCAGUACGGUGGGCGUGUGUGUGUGCAGCGCGCUGAGUGCGGGCGCCGGAUCAGCACCGCCCCGUGCAGUGAGGACAGUGAGCACGUCCAGUCCGGUGGGCGCGUGCGUGCAGCGCACUGAGUGCGGGCGCCGGGUCAGCGGCUCCCCCCGUGCAGGAUCCCACGGACAGCGCCGGAUCUCGCGACAUUGAGCUUCUCUGCUCGGACAUGGCGGCCUCCCGUCCACCCAGGCUAUGGAGGUGAGCUAAAUCCGGUGAGAUCCUUUCCUCUAUGGUCCCCAACCGUCCAACCUCGCACCCCGGCGGCCUCCUGCAAGCACGGCCAGGUACACUAAUCUCGUCUGGUACACUAACCUCCUCUGCCCGUUACUAGGGGGCAUCUCCGCGCCGCCGUUGCGCCGCUCUACCCCGACACUACAGAGCAAUGGCGGCAACAGGGCUCCUCAUCCUGCCUUGUAGAGCAGCGGUGCAGUUGCUCCAGCCAUGUAGUUUGGCCCGCGGGAACGUGUAGUUAACUUGCACAUGUCGGUUGCUCUCUGCGAGGAACCAAUUUGAUACCAUUUUUAUUUGGGUGAUUCAGCGUUAGAUGCUAAGAGCCAGUUUGGAUCCCCUCCACUCCCUUAAAUUCUUUACUCCGCUCCCUGCUCCUAUACUGUUGGCUCCACGUGCAAAAGCAGGAGUAGAUUUCAUGUUUGGCUGUUGACUCCACUCCAUAUGGUCACGGGAGGGGUUUGCUAUCCACGGGAGAAUAAUUAUUUUAUCAGCCAACCUAUCAGUUGCGGGAGUCACACGCGGAGCUCAGCUUUUGCCACUCCGCCAGAUUGCACUACGGCCGGCUCUGCUCCACUCCUCUGACUCCACGGAGCUGUGGCGUUCGGCGCCGCUCCGGCAGCUCCGGGAGUGGAGUUGCGGAGUGGAGCAGAUCCGAACAGGGCCUAACUCUUGCUUUUGCAUCUUUGCUGAAGGUCCAUAGUGGUUGCAGAUGCAUUGGAGCGAGAGGGCUUCUAGAACCUAGCCUGCAUCACCUGAAGUCUUAAGACACUGAAACCAGCCUUGUUGCUGCUUGUAAUGGCGUUCACUGACCAGGUUGAGCAGAUCUUCGAGUUGGCCGACAUCAAAUUGUGUUUAGGGUCGCCGCUCUUCUAGUUACUCUCUUGAGUUCAUACGUUUCACUAUCAGGGUAUGGAACUCUUCAUGAUUUCGUACUAAAAUUCUUCUAUGGACAAACAAAAUUGGUGCUACUGAUUUAAGCUUAAUGGCACGAACAACAGUUCCUGUUAUGUAGUAUGUGGGCCAGUUAUAAAAUUUGGAUGAACACUAAUUUGAUUUUUGUGUUCUGUUUGAUUCAUUUAGCUGCAGGUUGAGUUUGUCAGUAGGUGUGCUUGAUGAGAUCUCUUUAGACUGAAAAACGAUGUUAGGCUCCAUGUGUAAUAUUUAUGGACUUUCAAAUUUUUUGACUGUUUGUGUAUUUUUGCUGGAGUAAUUUCUUUUUCUCCCAUACUACUUUUUUAUUUUCAGUUUUUAGGGAUUGUUUUGUAAAAAGAUUGGGACCCUAUUUGACUGUACUGCGCAGAUCAUUCCUCAUCUUCGUUCCAGCAGCCCCUGGAGAUCGACGAGAAGUUGACUGCAGUUCAUUUUGUUCGUACAAUGAUUAAAGAAAAUAAAUUAUGGAGUUCACUAGCCUCGGCAAA